rnacentral:rRNA from 1 species
UACGAGGGGAGCAAGCGUUAUUCGGAAUUAUUGGGCGUAAAGGGCGCGUAGGCGGCUUGGCAAGUGGAAGGUGAAAUCCCUCGGCUUAACCGAGGAACUGCCCUCCAAACUGCUUCGCUUGAGACCGGGAGAGGUGAGUGGAAUUCCCAGUGUAGCGGUGAAAUGCGUAGAUAUUGGGAGGAACACCAGUGGCGAAGGCGGCUCACUGGACCGGUACUGACGCUGAUGCGCGAAAGCGUGGGGAGCAAACGGG